AACUUCGUAGCACAAUCUUGAAAUAGAACUACUUAUAACAUAUAACUGUCUAGCUUCGUGGUGAGAAGACAUGCAAACCAUUUCAGCUUCUGUGUGAUCAAAGUCUGAAGACAUGCAAAAAGGAAUACCAGGAGACAGUUCUUCGUGUACAUGGUUCCAUCUUCCUCUACUGGGUAGAAAAAAUACUGGGCAGCGUUGUUUUCUGCACGUGCUUUUCCUGGAGGAUUUCUGGAGCUACAAGCAAAUCGUGAACCUCAGCAAAGGUCCCUUGAACCAGACAUUUUCUCUGCUGUGUCAUGAGAUUGAACAGUACGUCAAACAGCAGUUCAAGACUGGUACUGUUGUCAUGUCUUUCUGCACUUCCGUUUAAGGUAUCGUUACAUGCUAGACUGUAGUGAAUGUAAAUCAUAUGUUUGUCUCAAUUCCUACGCAAAUUCUGGAGCAGCUUUGUGAUGGGGUAGAGCUCUGUGUUGGAUUUCCCUGCACCUCCACUUCCCAUGAGGUCCCUAAAGAGCAGAAGGGCUUUUCAAUUCAAAAUCCUGGAGCAACUGAAAAAGGAGAGAAUAAAGUGACU
rnacentral:lncRNA from 1 species